GAUGAAGCAAUGAGGGACCCCGUUCUCGUGCAACAUACCAUAGGUAGGAGCAGUAUGUUCGAUCGACAGGCGGCAAGCCGCCGGCAAACAUAACAGUAGCCGGACCUUAGCAGCCUAGUUACCGGAACAUAGCGUACGUGGUACGAUAUUUUUAUAAACUAUGAAACAUGAGGGGUAUAUAGCUUCGUCUCGUUCCUUUAAAUUACGGAAUGCGUUCCACUUUCCAAAGAAACGUGUAUGGG
rnacentral:lncRNA from 1 species